rnacentral:rRNA from 1 species
AUGUCUGGGAAACUGCCUGAUGGAGGGGGAUAACUACUGGAAACGGUAGCUAAUACCGCAUAACGUCGCAAGACCAAAGAGGGGGACCUUCGGGCCUCUUGCCAUCAGAUGUGCCCAGAUGGGAUUAUCUAGUAGGUGGGGUAACGGCUCACCUAGGCGACGAUCCCUAUCUGGUCUGAGAGGAUGACCAGCCACACUGGAACUGAGACACGGUCCAGACUCCUACGGGAGGCAGCAGUGGGGAAUAUUGCACAAUGGGCGCAAGCCUGAUGCACCCAUGCCGCGUGUAUGAAGAAGGCCUUCGGGUUGUAAAGUACUUUCAGCGGGGAGGAAGGUGCUGAGGUUAAUAACCUCAGCAAUUGACGUUACCCGCAGAAGAAGCACCGGCUAACUCCGUGCCAGCAGCCGCGGUAAUACGGAGGGUGCAAGCGUUAAUCGGAAUUACUGGGCGUAAAGCGCACGCAGGCGGUCUGUCAAGUCAGAUGUGAAAUCCCCGGGCUCAACCUGGGAACUGCAUUCGAAACUGGCAGGCUAGAGUCUUGUAGAGGGGGGUAGAAUUCCAGGUGUAGCGGUGAAAUGCGUAGAGAUCUGGAGGAAUACCGGUGGCGAACGCGGCCCCCUGGACAAAGACUGACGCUCAUGUGCGAAAGCGUGGGGAGCAAAC